CCUGGGGUUUUUCUCGUGACACCUGCAACAACGAGUGUUAGAAGUGGAGCUGUGCAUUAGUCACCUCUGUUCCCUGGUUACUGAUUAACAGGUGCUGCCUUUGUGGUCCAGGGGAAGGCGAAUCACCAAAGCCCUUCCCUUGGCAGCUGUACAUCCACUGUUGUGUUCUAUUAAUAAAAACCAAACUGUCUGGGUUUCCCACGCACACUCGUGUUUCCAGGGGAGUGGGAACCACUGUGGGUUCCAUAACCAUUGCAGGAUUUUGAUGGAGACACCCUGUGGGAAUCAGCUUUCCCAGCACCUGCAGUGGGGAUGCCCCAUGCUCUGAGGGGCAGCACGGGGAAGGUGAGCCUGGUCCUGGGUGUUCCAUACAUCAGGGAGCAAAAACCAUCAGCAGCCGGGCCUGAGGAAGGAAAAUAACUUAAAUAUGAGACAGAGAUUUGUGAUGUGUGAAAAACACGGCAGCUCUUUGUUCUUCACUAAUCCAAAUUUAUAGAAGGAGCCAGGAGGUGUUUUUUGAGAGCAUCUCAGACACUGGAAUUUGAACACUGAUUUAGGGAAUUAAUUGUAAGUGAUCCAGGUUAAUGGGUGUUUCACAAGGCAAAUGGAAGGGAUCACAUCCUGUGGGGUGCCUGCAGGUGACUCUCAUUCCCCACCAACCCAUCUGUAAAUCCCAUCACCUGUUCUGGGCCAUAUAAACAGCCAGAGACGAUGCAGGAGAUUAAUUCCUGGAGUGCAGAGCUGGGGUUUGGGCUGGUGGGGGAUUUUCACAUGGAUCUCCUCCUUCCUUGCUUCCUGACAAAGGUUCUAGCCUCUGACUAACUCAGGUGGGCUGGGUGCCAGCAUGCUCUUGUGGAAGUUUCCCAGCUGAAAAGUUAAAUGUGCCUUGUUGGAGACAUUGUUGCUGGCAGAAGGAAGAAGGAUAUAAUCAAACUUAUUUAGUAGAUGUGUUUGUCUUGGGGCACCAGGAAAUAUGCUGGAGUCUGAGAUACAGAGAUUUGUCACAUCAUGUACCAAAUAUAUUUACUGGGUUUUCCCCCUUUGAAAGAGAAAAAGCC
rnacentral:lncRNA from 1 species